GCCAAAUUUAAGAACUUGUGCUGAUUACCUUAAAAUAAACUGUGUCACUAUGCAUGACUUUAAAAGUAUAGAGAGGUGAGUGACAUCCGGCCAAGUAUAGAAACCGGCCGUGAAUUUUGCUCUUAAUACUAUGAAAACCAUGCAUAUUAGUUUUAUCGCUUCUGGUUGUUCUCUCUCGUACACAUAUGCACAAAUCUGCUAUCUAUCGAUCGAUCGUUCGUUACACACAAGCUUGACAGAGGGGCACCAUAAUCAUAGUGUAUCCAUGCCAGAGGCGUGAUCUUAAUCGAAUUGUGUUUAAAAACGUGCAUGCAUGGUCGGAAUCGAUUGGACGGCAAAUUAUUAAUUGAAAAUACCCACGAUACCUGGAUUUUACAUAAGAUAUACAGUAGGAUUUAAUUAUGCAUGGAUAUCGAUCAUAUGCUGGAAUGAAGCCAAUAAAUUAAAACGAUACAUAUACAGCACCUUGUAAGUGGUGGAAGAGCAAGGAGUGCAGCAUCCCAUCGGGCGAGCUCCCGCCGGCUAAUAGCACGACGAUGACGUACGGUCGCCCCGACGCCGAUGGCCAGCAGGGCCUUCCUCCUAGUAGUGUUGGAGGAGCACCUGCGCACCGCCCAUGGCCACCUUGUCCUCCUUGCGGCCUCGUCCACGGUCGGGUGCCGCAGCCGCUAAGGACGACAUCGUCGGCGGCGGCCACUCGUAGUCAGGGGCAGUGGGGCUACGACUGUCGCCCUUCACGUCGUCAUCCAUGCUCUUGCUAUCUCUGUUUGGUUUGUUAAUAAGUUGGACUAUGUGUAUAUAUAACUACUAAUGCUAGGGAGCCUAGGCUGUUUAGAAAAUUAAGUUGGUUAGAAAUCUAUAUAUCUAUAUCUAUAUCUAUACAUAUACAUAUAUCAAUAUCUAUAUCUAUAUCUAUAUAUAUAAUAUCUAUAUUUAUAUACCUAAUAACAAAGAGGUAAAAUUUCAACUUAUUUUUUGAUCCAUCUAUUUUUUAGUCCGUCUGACUCUAACUACUAGGCAAUUGAGAGCUUCCUCCGUCUCAACUUAUAUAACAAAUGCUCAUACGAGUUAUAGUAGCUCUUAUUUGACGCGAUACGAAGUCUGGCUCCAAAAUGUGUUGGGUCGUAUAUGUGACCCGAACACUAUAAAUUGGAUAGCUAGAAUUCUAAUCCUAAACUGAAUAGGAAUAGAAAUCCUAAUCAAAUAGAAAAGGAAAACCACAAUGCAAACCACGACUCUCUUUUUGGUUUUACAGAUGGCGAAGUACAUUAGGUUUGUCGUAUUCUGGUUUUGCUGAUGUAUAUGGCAACAAUUAUCUCAUGCUAUCUCUUGGAUUAUAUAUCUCCUUUCCUAUUCCAAUACACAAUUAACUCAUGCUAUCUCUGUACAAUUCCUUUCCUAUUCCAAUACGUGGUCUUUAAAUACUUAUAUAUACAAUUCCUUUCCUAUUCUAAUACACCGUCUUUGAAUACUUAUAUAUACUUCAACUAUUAAAUCAAUAAAAUUAUCAUGUCAUAUCUUUAUUAUUAUAUCAUCUUAAAAAAAUAUUUUAUGUAGGAUAUUCUAAAUUAUUUGUUGUUCUAUUAUUUUUUCCACGCCACUUUUUUGGAUGGAUUUGUUCCCUCACGUGAUGUUUCUAUAUUUCCUUACAUAAUAUUUUCUACUUUUAAUUUCCACGUACUUUUAUAUGAUUUUUUGAUGUUUCUAUAUUUCCUUACAUAAUAUUUUCUACUUUUAAUUUCCACGUACUUUUAUAUGAUUUUUUGUUCCUUUUCCCUCCACUGUACAUGAUGGUUUCCGUUUUUGUAUAGGACAUGAUAUUUUUCUAUUCUUUUCUCAAGGUAGUUUUCGAUAUUUGUUUGGUAGUUUUUGUGAUUUUUAUUUGUUUCUCAUAUGGAGAUUAGUGUUUUUUAUAGUUUUAUAAUUUUUAAAUUUUUAUGAGAAAGGUAAACUAGAAGCAAUGAGAUAAAUCUUAAAUGCACUUAGGUACAUGUGCAUGAUGAUUUUUGAUUAGUUUGGCAAAAUUUUUCUUUUGUUUUUUCUAACGUCUCUCUUGUCAAUUUUCAUGUGAGAAAAAUAUUUAUUUGAUUCAAGGAUGGAUUAAACUCAUUUAAAUAUACAAAAACUGUACAAUCACCAUGUAAUAAAUUGUAUGCCCUGUUGCAACGCACGGGCAUGUUUUGCAACUAAUCUAAUAAAAUUCAAAAUUUUAGGUUGUUUUUUCGUCCACCUCCACUAACUAAUUCAUUGAGCAUAAAAAGUUAGAAAUUGUAUACCCCGUUGCAACGCACGGGCAUGUCUUUGUUUAUUUUGCAGUCCUCCUAUUUUAUGUAUAAACAGUUAGAAAUCCUAACAUAAAUAGAUCUCUAUAAUUCUAAAUCUAAGUAGGAAUUCUAUUCAAAUAGAAAAUGUUGUUUCUAUAGCAUGUGUAACAUCCCGGGUUUUUACACGAACCAAAAAUAUGAGCUUUUUAUUUUUUUUUCUUGUAAUUGGGUGAAGCAUAUAGUUUAUAGCUUAAACCUGAGUCUAACUGCUAACAAAACAUUGCAUUCAUAUAGAAUUAUUUGUAGGCGAGUGGUUUUGUUCAUGAGUCGGUUUAGGGUUUAGUUUUGUUUAGGGUUGGAGUGCACAAAUCCAUAGCAAGAUUCCUUCUUCACUUCCCCGUUGGAGUGCUUCUCAAAACUCCUUUCGAUGCCUUUGCUAAGCUGCUUUUGCGAAAUGCCCUUUUUGCAACCCUUUGCCCCCUCCUUGAUCACCUGUCAUAAAUCUCUACCGGCAAAUCCCUCUAUAAUACCUGAUGGAAGUCCUUCUCAUAUUGUUGUGGCAUAAUAGAGAAAACCUUUAUCUUUUCAUAGCAAGGAAUAGAAAAUCUUUUUCCCCCUGUCUUUGAAAUUCAUUUCGAAACUCCUUGAAAUCUAUUUCAAACCCCUUGGCAAAAUGGGAAAACUAUUCUUCCUAUCUCCUGGGCCGAAUCUCCCACCUUCUUUCCACCUCUCUUCCCUCACUCGGCCCAGCCACAGCCCAACACCACCCCCGUACACUCCUUCCCACCGAGGAGGCCGGCCCAGCUCUCUCCUACCCUUCUUUUGCUGGCCCAGCAGCCAGGCCGGCCCACCAGCUCGCCCCUCCCCUUGGCCUAGCUAUUGACAUUUCUUAGCAUUGCUUAAGUCAGGUUGUCAUCCCUAACACAACACCAAAAAACAUGGUUGUACUUAUGAUCAUAGCACUAUAGAAAAUGAAUAAAGGUUAUCCACAAGCGCAUAGAUAAAAUACACCUGUUGUACCAUUUCACUCAGGAAAGUUCCAAAUAUCGUUAUUUAUAAUUUUACCACUAGGAAGGCACUUAGAGGUGUAAAGAAUAAAAGCUAUGACUUGCACUUGUGAUAAGAGUUCCACUAGAUCAAUACUCAAAAUAGGGAUCAAUCAUAUCAUAAAUAAAUAUAAGUAAUAACAGAUCAAGAUAAUCCUAAAAGGAGUUCCACCAAGCA
rnacentral:lncRNA from 1 species